UAUACACAUUUACACUCGUGUGUGUACGUUCCCUCUCUGUCUGAACCCCAAAAUAGAAAUACGGAGAGAUAUAAAUAAAACCGUCCCUUUGAAACGAGCACCCCCACCCCCCUCAGCGUCCCCGUCUCUCGCAGCAGACGACACAACACACGGCGAAGAGGAGGAAGGAACAGGAAACGGGGAGAGACACGAACACACGAAUUCUGAAAGAUUUCAUAAGCGCUUUGCGGGUUUAUAUUAUUUUCUUUGCCUCGCAUUUAUUUAUUCAUUUUGGGGAGUGUGUGAGUUAAGAAAAAGAGACGUUUGGGAACGGAAGGAAGGAAAGCACGAUGAUGAUAAUUCUCCUGCUCCAUUUUAUGAACUAUAUUCGCAGAAAAGUGUUAGAGCGACUUUGGAUGAGGAAGAAAAGAGGGAUGUUAACGAAAUAUCGAUAAAGGAAAAAAAAGAAGGAAAAGGAGAAAGGAUGAGAAUGAUAAUGAUCAGAGAAAAACAUGAUAGGUGUGUAUGCGAAUCUUCGUCCUUUUAUCCUUUUAAUUUGUACUUAAACAUUAUCAGUGUUGUGUGGGCAACGGUGUGAUAAAGCGAAAAGAAUAUAUGUGAUGACUAUAUAUUUAUUUUCUUUACAUAUAUUGUAUAUGUAUAUGAAAAAAAAGUGAAGAAAAUGGAUGAGAGUUUAUUUUGGCGUCCCAACGGGUGGCCUCUUUUCCCCGUAAUAUGGAAGACGAAUGAAGUCGUGAGAUUUUAACUUCAGUUCUUCUGAAGAUUCUUCUUCAGUGAAUCUCUGGUCUACGAAAGGAAGUGAGAAAUAUAUUGUAUUAACCUCAUGUAUUGGGCCUGAGUUAUAAUUGUGGCCAACAGAUGGGUAUAUUAAAUGAUAUAUUUAUAUAUAUAUAUAUCUUUGUUUUCUCUAUGAUAUAAUUUCUUAUAGAUGCAGAAUGUUAUUUUAAGUUAUGAGUUAUGUAAGUAAGCACAAGUUUUAUGUUGUCAAGUAUAAGUUUGCUCAAGUCUGUUGUUUUAUAUAAAUCCUUUUGUAAAGUGAAUCUCUAGUGCAAGAUUUGUAGCCAAUUUUAGUGAGGAGAAAACUUUUUUGUACAAAUGUGUCUCAUAUCAAUAGAUUUUAAAAGCAAAACAUUGCAAGAGCAUUUAGUUUCCAGUAAUAGAAAGGCAUUUAUUAGGUUAAAGCAGUCCAGUAACUCAAAACAUCCCAAAAAAUCCUUGUUAUUUUAUUCACUUGGGAUUAUACAGUAUAGUCAUUAGAGACCAUAAGUCUCAUCUCAAUAGGUGUAGCACUGCACUAAAUUGCGUCCAUGACAUGAUGUUUGGCGGAGUCAUGUCUCACUGAAGAUAAUGUAGUGAUAGAACAAUUUUUAUCAUGUUGGAAAAUAAAGGCAUGAAUGUGAAUGAGUAACUAGCAUUUCUGUGGUUACAUUGUAAGAUGUAGCUAUUAAAAUGUGAAUUUUGUCGUCUCAUUCAUUCUUCAAAACUUGUCACAAUGAUAUGUUAGUCUUUUGCUUUUUACCCUUUCAUUUGUUUUUUCUUUAAUGAAAUUUAUCAAUUUUACUUUUUACAUGGUAUUGAUGAAAAAGAAAAAUGGAAAAUAUCUAAGCAGGGUAUUUACUGGUCUUUUAUUUCCACAAAUUUCCUCUCUUUCAAAGAUUGAAAAUUGCAGCUGUUAGAAGUUGAUGAAUAUGCUUCAGUGUAAUUGUUAAAAAGGGUUAAAUAUGAGUAUAUGUGGUUGUUAAAUUGCUUCAUCAUGAGUGCAAAAUUAUUAAAAACCCAUGGUAGGGAAAAAAAAAAAAAAAAAAAAAAAAAA